GACGAACGCUGGCGGCGUGCUUAACACAUGCAAGUCGAACGGAAAGGCCCUGCUUUUGUGGGUUGCUCGAGUGGCGAACGGGUGAGUAACACGUGAGUAACCUGCCCUUGACUUUGGGAUAACUUCAGGAAACUGGGGCUAAUACCGGAUAGGAGCUCCUGCUGCAUGGUGGGGGUUGGAAAGUUUCGGCGGUUGGGGAUGGACUCGCGGCUUAUCAGCUUGUUGGUGGGGUAGUGGCUUACCAAGGCUUUGCCGGUUAGCCGGCCUGAGAGGGUGACCGGCCACAUUGGGACUGAGAUACGGCCCAGACUCCUACGGGAGGCAGCAGUGGGGAAUAUUGCACAAUGGGCGGAAGCCUGAUGCAGCAACGCCGCGUGCGGGAUGACGGCCUUCGGGUUGUAAACCGCUUUCGCCUGUGACGAAGCGUGAGUGACGGUAAUGGGUAAAGAAGCACCGGCUAACUACGUG
rnacentral:rRNA from 1 species